AUGAGGUUCUCUGCUCAGCUUCUGGGGCUGUUUAUGCUCUGGAUUCCUGUCUCUAGUGGAGAUAUUUUCCUGACCCAGAGUCCACUCAACAAGCCCAUCAUACUUGGAGAGUCAGCCACCAUCUUCUGCAAGUCUAGUCAGAACCUUAAAGAUAGUGGUGGAGACACCUAUGUGAACUGAUACCAGCGGAAACCAGGCCAAGCUCCACGGCUUCUGAUCUAUGUGGUUUCCAACAGGUUCACUGGGGUCCCAGACAGGAUCAGCAGCAGGGGUCUGAUACAGAUUUCACUCUGAAAAUCAACAGAGUGGAGGCUGAGAAUGUUGCAGUUUAUUACUGUCAGCAAGGUACAGAAAAUCCUCCCACAGUGAUAGAGUCCUACACAAAAACCUGUGGUUAA